GGGCAGCCUGGACGUUCCCCGGCACUUCUUCACGCUACUCUCCAGAGACAUUGAACAGGAGAGAGGAUGCUCGCACUUCUUUCCGGCCCAUCCCUCCUUGCAGUCGCAUCUGCCGCAAUGACACUGACCGCGACCUGAAGGUGUGAAGCACCAUCCCUCUCAGACGCCAUCCAGUGCACCGCUGAGUGAAACCCCAUUAUCAAGCCGACAAGCCGGGCCUCGUCGUUCCAGCCUGCUGAACCAUAAUGAGCUUCUCGCAGCCAGACAGCCAGCUUGUCUGCACAAAUAAAUCACUCCAGCCAUCACGUGCACCCUCCCGCCUACUGCUAACCUGCGCCUCUUAUUCAUAUCUCUAUUAGACCUGUUCAACCCUGGGUGCAGACCCAGUCAUGGCACUCGCAGCGAGGACCAUAGAAUUUUCCUGGAUCUGACGCCUGGCAGAGGCACACGCCGCAGUCACACUUGCCCCUCCCGCUGCAGAUGUUCCCGUCGGGCGUCCGGCAGCGGCGCAGGGAUGACUCGGCCGACAAUCGACACACGCCUGCUACCUGGCUAUUGAAAAAAAAAUAGAACAGCAAGGGAAAAGAACUGCGAUAAAUGGCUAAUACAGGAAGGGACAGUGGAAGUUGGAAAACAACUUUGCCACUACCACCCAAAGCUUCCACUCUUCUGGGAAGGAAUGCUGCAAGAUUUUGGAGUGUGUCUGUGGGAAAGUCGGCUAUCAGGACCACGAGACUCCCAUCUACCCAGGAUUGAGGUCAGUGUUCUAAAGCUAUAAAUAAAUACUGUAGUACUAUGUCAGCUUAAAAAUGGGUAGCACACCUGUGGUUUAGUCUAUUAUUUAGUUUAUGCCUUUAUGGGCCAUACAUUGUACAAGUUAAGCUGGAAGAGAAAAAGGGCUUUACCCAAUAUGUUCCCAAAAGAUAUACAAAAUGUCUUGAUAUGAUGAAAACAUUAAAUUCAAGGGAAAACUAGCUCUUGAUUGAUUAAUUAAAUCCAACCUUUUAGAGUAGGCUAUGUUUGUACGUGUCUUAUGAGUCAAGUAUUGUAAUUACAGUCUUGUUCUCCUUCAGUUGCCAAGACUACACCUCCGUGCACUUUGUUUUUAACAGGGCAUAACCUUGAUGAAUGAAUGGAUGACUGACUCAUACCCACUGUAGCUUUCACAUUGUUAAGCCUGUUUACUAAAAAUGCCUUUGAAAAACAUUUUGCUCCUUCCUGCAACUAAUGCAUGUGUGGGUUUGCCAAUAAAUGAACUGUACUGUAUAUUGUACAACUUAAGAGCACCUGCACAAUCUUCAAGGAGGAUACUAUUUUUGUACUAUUUUAUAUGGAGGUAGUUGUAUUGGAAGUGUUUGUCCAAACUCCUUGAUGCAGUAAUCUAGAUGCUGUUUUGUGUGCCUGGAGCUUCAAUGCUCACAGGCUGUUUUUGUCCAUUGUGCAUCUUAUCCACUUUUUGCACUUAGACAGUGAUUACAUAGCCUGUUUAUUGUAAGUUGUAUUUUAAUAUC